rnacentral:rRNA from 1 species
UCUACCUUGAAGUGGGGAAUAACGAGCCGAAAGGUUCGCUAAUACCGCAUGAGAUCGAGAGAUGAAAGGGCGAUUCGAAAGAAUCGGUCGCUUUAAGCGGAGCCUGCGGUCGAUCAGGUAGUUGGUGAGGUAACGGCUCACCAAGCCUCUGACCGAUAGCUGAUCUGAGAGGAUGACCAGCCACACUGGCACUGAGAGACGGGCCAG